AUUGUAUUAGCUUAUGGAGCACAUAGAUUGCUGCGGUUGUGAAAGGUUCAAAGUCCACACAGUAUCAAGUACAAUGGUACAAUUCAAGGUCUCAAGUACAAUGGUGCUUAAGUUGUGCUGUUCUGGUGCCAUCUACCUACUCUUUGUAAUUUUCAGACCAUCUCUCUGGUGCAUGAUCACUGUUUUGUCCUGAAAUUGGGGAAUUUUGUGGGCUUACCGUCAACAGACCGGGGAUGCUGGUGCACACAGUUGUUGAGCAUCCUAGCUCAACUUUGGGUUCUGCAAAAGUUGGUAACAGUGAUUGUUCAAAGAAAGAAGAACUGGUCUUACCAACUGAUAGCAAACAUGAUUCUGCAAAGUUUUCUGAAGAUAGUUCCCAGGAAGUGAGAAAGUGCUCUGAACUGCGGGCAUCUGAUUUGGCUGCUCCAUUGAGUGAUGAACAGCUUGCAUUACUGUUGCAUCAACAAUUAAACAGCUCCCCCAGAGUACCGAGGGUGCCACGUUGCCAUCAAGCAGCUGGUACGCAGAUGCUUCAUCCAACUGGAGCUACUUCUAAGCGG